rnacentral:tRNA from 1 species
UCCGGUGUAGCUCAAAUCGGUAGAGCAUGGCGCUUGCGACGCCAAAGGUCAUGGGUUCAAUUCCCGCUGGGG